rnacentral:rRNA from 1 species
UACGGGGGGGGCAAGCGUUGUUCGGAAUUACUGGGCGUAAAGGGCGCGUAGGCGGUUUGCUAAGUUGGAUGUGAAAACUCUGGGCUUAACCCAGAGCCUGCAUCCAAAACUGGCAAACUUGAGUACUGGAGGGGAAAGCGGAAUUCCUGGUGUAGCGGUGAAAUGCGUAGAUAUCAGGAGGAACACCGGUGGCGAAGGCGGGUCUCUGGGCCACUACUGACGCUGAGAAGCGAAAGCAUGGGGAGCGAACAGG